AAACAUUGCAUUACAUUGUUGACUUACACACAAACUAUUUGAAGUUGAGAUUGCGUUAGAUAUCGUUGGAAGAAUGGUGAAAGUGGAUUAAUUGUUAUAGAAAUAUUUGUGUCAAAACAAGAUACAUAGUUUUUGUUACAGCAGUUUUUGCCAUUGGUGAUGCUUAAUGACUGAAUUACAAUAGUACACGUUCACAAGUAUUUGUAAUUGUAGUGAACCCUACUGAACCCACGUCGCCAGUUGAAUGACAAAAUUAGGUGUGCAAAAGACAUUUAGGUGUUGAAAGGUUUGCGUCGACUUGUUGUAUGAUUUAAUGAUUCUAGAAAGUUGCUGCGAGUUGCUGUUGUUUAAUGUAGGUUUCCUUGACAGACCAGGAAUUAAAAUAUAAAUACUAAAAAUUGGUUACUGAUUUCGCAACUUAAAAUUAUUUGAGUGAGUUUGAAGACAAUCGCCAAUAUUAAAUGCAUUUAAAAAAUACAGUGCAUGACGAAAGAAAAACGAUCAUUCCCGACCAUGUCUCAUCUUGCUUUGCUCUUUUUAAUAAAAUUUUCACUUUUACAAUAAAGAGGUUAUUUAGCAGUGAAAUUCCCACAGGAGCUAAUUAAUGAAAUAUGUGAUUCUUAUUUUGCAAUUAAUCUUUUGGGAUUUACUAAACAAUAAAAUUUACCCACGUCGGCUGGAGUCCAUAAAAGCACCUAUAGAAUAUUCUUUUGUAUCAGACCCCCAGUAUGUCUGACGUGAAUAACAUUAAUUCCUACCAACUUUGUUUAUCAGCCUUGUAUUUGCUUGUUUUAGGUCCAUUUGAUAUUGAAAACAUGUCAUUCGAUAAUUAAAGCCUGAUUUUUGAAACCGAUAGAAUACCGUUAUAUAGACAUAGUAGUUCACACACAAUAGCGUGUUGAAGUUCGAUUAUCUAUUUGUAAUAACUUUAUACUUCAUUUACAAAUUUGCAUUUUCAAUAAUUGCUGGCAUGGUACUACAUACCUUGAAGUGAAUACAUGCAGGCUAUAGAAAAUGCUUUGAGUGGAUAACUUUUAUGCCUGAAUUUCAAAAAGAAAAGAUAUAUUUGUAUGAUUUAUGCAGAAAUAAUGAAAGAACGAUUUUGGUAAAGCAGGGGAAAAAAUUCAAUGGUAGAGUUGCAAUGAUCUAGAUUAUCACAUCUAACAUGUAUUGAUGGCGUUAGUAUGUGGGUCUUGAAUUGUAUCAUUUAUUCGUGAUCCAGUAGUUGAAUUUGUCAUGAGUUUCUAUGGUAGUUAAUCCGUGUAAAUGGCUUUACUGACAUUUUUUAGGUAGUUGAAAAUUGUAAUAUGCAGUUGCUUGGCGUAUUGCGUACAAAAAUGACAAAGCUAAAGAGCUUGGAACGCACAGGGUUAAAAAGCAAAAGGAUGUUAUUGUUUUGGAAAUGUGAUAGAAUUGUCGUCAAUGAAGAGUGUAAUGAGCGGUAGAGAUUGAGUUUUUUCGUUUUAUGUGUUUUCCGACAUCUUUUGGUUUCACCUGGAUAUAACUCCAUUGCCAGUCUAUACAUGGUAUUUUUGUAAAAGUCUUUGAGUGCGCCGUCAGAGCUGCAGAAAAUAGCACAGAAAAGAUUUAUACGUCGAAGCCAAUUGUGCCAAAGUGAAACCAGGAGAGAUUCAGAAAGUAAAUGGAAAGUUAGACGUUUUCUUUGGUAGUACGUGGUAACAGCAUUUCCCUGAGAUGUUUAAUGAGUAAAAUGUCGCAGUUUUGCAUAAAAAAGACAAAAUCGCUGGAUGCUUAAUCGGUAAAGCACAUGUCUGCAAACAAAUCAGACGUUAACGACUAACAAUGUUUAUUGACUUAAUUUAAAAUAAUUAAUUUGUGAUCAUGAAAACGUUGCCGGCAUUCAGUACAUUUGAUUCUUUUCCAUGUAUAUAAAUAUAUAUAUUGUAUAAAAAAUACAUAUUCACAUCACAUUA